UGAAUUAUCCUGUGAUGCACACUGAAGACC
rnacentral:piRNA from 1 species